rnacentral:rRNA from 1 species
GACGAAGGGGGCUAGCGUUGUUCGGAAUUACUGGGCGUAAAGCGCGUGUAGGCGGUUAUCCAAGUCGGGUGUGAAAGCCUUGAGCUCAACUCAAGAAAUGCAUUCGGUACUGGGUGACUAGAGGACCGGAGAGGAUAGUGGAAUUCCCAGUGUAGUGGUGAAAUACGUAGAGGUUGGGAAGAACACCAGUGGCGAAGGCGGCUAUCUGGGCCGAUACUGACGCUGAGGAGCGAAAGCGUGGGGAGCGAACAGG